AGUAAAAAUGAGUUGUAGCAGUUUAAAAAAACACAAGCAUCCGGGCAGUAAUUAGGUUUUUCUUCACUUAAACAAAAACUGCACUUCCAAAGUAAAAGCUACAAUUUCUUCUCAACAUAGUUAUUUGAUAUGUUUCAAUGCAUGUCAACUCUUGUGUUUAAAACGGGAAACUCCAAUGUCUACUUGAACAUCUUGAAACAAGUGUAGGAAAUGUGCAGCAGGAAAUGCACUGUACAGUGAAACCUGUCUAGUUCAUCCACUGAACAAUCCUGCUGUGCAUAUUCUUUAUACACAGGAACCUUAUAUAGAGGUUAACAUAUUUGCAUGUUCUAAACAUUCUAAAAUUCAUGCUUUUGCAGGUGAACAGUGCGCAUUUUAAGUGUCCUUUAUAGAUAGGUGACUGCAUAUUGGAAUCACCAGGUACACUUAAACCGGUUUAACUGUAGCUGAGUUUCAGCUCCCUGGCAGUGUUUUGUGUAUGCAGACUGCAUCUUGGGUCAAACGGUCUUACAGAAUACUACCACACACUCGUGUCAAGUUGACUACCAGUUUCUACUGACUACACCAACUGACGUUUCAUUACCACAAUAACAAGAUGUAUUUGCGACAUGUAAUCAUACUGCUAAGUGCAGUGUGUACGCUGUCACUUGCUAAAACAUCGUAUGACGACUGCAGUUGGGACCUUGAUCUUUACGGCCAAUGUGUUCGCUGUCUCCGUGGUUACCACCUGACCUACCAUGCACAACUGUACCGAUGGUGUUGUCUCUCAGUCGACGCACCAAACAGAGGGCUGGGAGCCGUCGUGAUGCGGCAUUGGUGUACCGAAAGGUAAAGAGUGGAAACCCAAUCAAAAGGGCUCAGAGCGAUUGUGACAUGGCACUGGUGUAACAAAAACUAAAGAAUGUUCAUAAAAAACAAAAACCACAACGUAUUCCUGAUUUUGUGUGUGUGUGUGUGUGUGUAAUUUUAUUCACACAUCUAGUAAUAAUUACAAACUGUUUGCUGUUGUAUGACUAACUCUAUUCUGAUUGGAUGACAUUGCUAAAAACUUAAUGUUAUCCUUCGAGAAACUACAAUAGAAUUAUGGUUUGUAAUUAUAAGAACUGUUUCUCAUCCUUCGAGAAACUACAAUAGAAUUAUGGUUUGUAAUUAUAAGAACUGUUUCUCAUCCUUCGAGAAACUAAAAUAGAAUUAUGGUUUGUAAUUAUAAGAACUGUUUCUCAUUUCUAUGAAAUUAUCAAUGUACAGAGAAACCUCUCUAAACCGGACACCCUUAGAAAUAGAAAAAUAUCCGGUUUCAAGAGGUAUCCAGUUUAGAGAGAUUAAGUUUCAAGAGGUAUCCAGUUUAGAGAGAUUAAGUUCUAUACUCAUUUUUUAAAAAGGGAUUCCGUAAAAAGUCCGGUUUGAGGGAAUUCCAGUUUUUAGAGGGUCCAGUUUUGAGAGAUUUCGCUGUAGACACUAACAGUCACAAAGUUAGUAUAAAACUGCUUUGCUACAUGAUGCAAUUUUAUACAAUUUAUGACUGUUAUACAUCAAUAAAUUCACAAAAAUUAAACACAAUUUUUAUAUAAAGUAUAUGGAAUGUUUUUGUGAUUUUUUUAUUUAAUUUUUUUAAAUUAUUUUUUAUUCACAGAAUCACCAGUUUCCUUUUUAUCUGUUACCACCACAAAUGUGAAGUGACAUGAUAUGUUUACUUGUGCCAAUGAUCACAUAAAAGAAUUGCUGAUAUACAUAUAUAUUGAUUAAAGUCAUUUUUAUCUUUAAA
rnacentral:lncRNA from 1 species